rnacentral:rRNA from 1 species
ACCUACGGGGGGCAGCAGUAGGGAAUCUUCUACAAUGGGCGAAAGCCUGAUGGAGCAACGCCGCGUGGGUGAAGAAGGUCUUCGGAUCGUAAAACCCUGUUGUUAGAGAAGAAAGUGCGUGAGAGUAACUGUUCACGUUUCGACGGUAUCUAACCAGAAAGCCACGGCUAACUACGUGCCAGCAGCCGCGGUAAUACGUAGGUGGCAAGCGUUAUCCGGAUUUAUUGGGCGUAAAGGGAACGCAGGCGGUCUUUUAAGUCUGAUGUGAAAGCCUUCGGCUUAACCGGAGUAGUGCAUUGGAAACU